GUAGUCCACGCUGUAAACGAUGUAUGCUCGAUGGUGGGGGACUAGACCCCUUCGCCGUCUUAGCCAACGCGCAAGCAUACCGCCUGGGAAGUACGACCGCAAGGUUAAAACUCAAAGGAAUUGACGGGGGCCCGCACAAGCAGCGGAGCGUGUGGUUUAAUUCGAUGCUACGCGAAGAACCUUACCCAGGUUUGCAUGGUGGUAGUAGGAACUGGAAACAGUGACGACCCGCAAGGGAGCCAUCACUGGUGCUGCAUGGUUGUCGUCAGCUCGUGUCGUGAGAUGUUGGGUUAAGUCCCGCAACGAGCGCAACCCUCGGUGCUAGUUGCACGUACCUAGCGCGACUGCCUGUCGAACACAGGA
rnacentral:rRNA from 1 species